AUCAUUAUUAGCAGAUUUUGUCAUUUACUAUUGUUAUUGUAAUAUAUUUAUGUGUACGUAAAGUUGAUCUAUAUCUUUAACAUUCAUAUAUAGUAGAAGUUAAUGCUCCUUUCAUGUUUGAGAUAAAUAAUUGUUUUUACAUUGUCAAUUUCCACUUAUAACAUGUUUCGCAGAGUAUGAGGGUGUUGUUUCCUACAACUAAUCGAGAUACAGGUCUUUUAUUAAAAUGAUAAAAGUAUGAUGAGACGAAAUGUUUUCUUGCCUGUCUGGCCAUUCGUCUGUCCGCUCAAGCGAUAAUUUGAUGAAAAAUUUAAAUAUCUUAAUAAAUCUUUGUACAUGUGUACACUGGCAAUCCAAAGAGAGUGGCAUUGCAGAUGUGUAAAAUAGUAAAUGUAAAUAAUAAACGAUUUUAAGCUAAUCUAACUCGAAUUUUAUAGUAGUGUACAGUCGGGAGGGUAAUGUUUAAUUUAAAAGUUGUGCAUACUAAUUAAGCUCUAUUAACCAAAUUUAACGGGAACAUUAACCAUAGCACCUUACGUAAAACUGUUAUAUUUGAAAUACUAGUCGGGUACCCAUCCCUUGGUUACCAUGUGACGGCCCUUCUAGAUUUAGUGUGAAUGAAAUCCGUUGAAAUUAAAGAAUCCAUAACAUUUAAAAUUGAAAUUUGCUGCUCUGAUGUCUUAUGAUGAGCCAUGGUUGAUGUGAUGAAGAUUCUAUCCAAGUCAAUGCCAAGAUAAGUUGAUCAAAUGCUUCAGCUGUGCUAUCCGCAAAAGUGGAUGUCAAUCCAUUUUUAGCUGUUGAUAUAUCUGCUGUGAAUAAGACAUAUAGAGUUGGCUCUUGCGCAAUGCCCUGAGAUACACCAGCCCUGGAUAAGGUUAAAUCGUGCAAAAACAGGAAUGCUUUUGUGAAUUUUUUGUGACGACACAGUUAAAAGCACUUUAUUAAAGACAAUGGUACUUUAAAUUAUAAAAUUCUAAGAUAUUGUAUAAAAGUUUUUAUGCAGAAGUAUUAAAAAAGACGGCAAUGGCAGCAAUUAUUCAGACAAUUUCAGAUUCCAAAAGGACCUCCUCAACUGUACGCUCCUCUUUUGGUUUCGCAAUUACUGUCAACACAUCUUCCUUUAGACC